GCAAUAUACCAAAAUCGCAACAAACAGUCCAAUAAGUGAUACCCAUCCUGUCUAGUGUAAUUGUAAUAAAAACAACGAGGUGCUAUGCAUGACAGUUUGACCCUACUCCAAUUAAGCUAAAAACAACGAGGUGCUAUGCAUGACAGUUUGACCCUACUCCAAUUAAGC